rnacentral:misc_RNA from 1 species
AUCGACGAUCAUGAUUAUGAUACGAAGAUGAAGAAGAUCAACGAGUUCAUCGACGACGGCGACAAGGUGAAGGUCACCCUGCGUUUCCGCGGCCGCGAGCUCGCCCAUGGCCAGCUCGGCAUGCAGGUGCUCCAGCGCGUCCAGGCUGACAUGGCCGAAACCGCCAAGGUCGAGCAGUUCCCGCGCAUGGAAGGCCGCCAGAUGCUGAUGGUGCUGGCGCCGAAGUGACCUUCUAAUUCCUCCCCGAGCUUGCUCGGGGAGGUGGCAGCGCGAAGCGCUGACGGA